rnacentral:rRNA from 1 species
AUUGAACGCUGGCGGCAGGCCUAACACAUGCAAGUCGAACGAGUGGCGGACGGGUGAGUAAUGUCUGGGAAACUGCCUGAUGGAGGGGGAUAACUACUGGAAACGGUAGCUAAUACCGCAUACCAUCAGAUGUGCCCAGAUGGGAUUAGCUAGUGGGUGGGGUAACGGCUCACCAAGGCGACGAUCCCUAGCUGGUCUGAGAGGAUGACCAGCCACACUGGAACUGAGAAACGGUCCAGACGCCUACGGGAGGCAGCAGUGGGGAAUAUUGUACAAUGGGGUCAAGCCUUAGACAGCCAUGCCGCGUGUAUGAAGAAGGCCUGCGGGUUGUAAAGUACUUUCAGCGGGGAGGCGUUACCCGCAGAAGAAGCACCGGAGAACUCCGUGCCAGCAGCCGCGGUAAUAC